rnacentral:lncRNA from 1 species
GCUUCUAGAAGUCCAGCAUCACCUGCACGACAAGCUGCGGUGCCAUGAGUCAGAGAUGCAUCGUCUCCGAGAGAUGGUGGACUGCUUGCGAGAGAGAAAUGAGAAGAAUUCAGGGAUACACCUCCAGCUACAGGAGAUGAAGGGAUUGUAUCAGUGCAGCAGGGAUGAGCUGGAACGGCAGAAGCACAUGUAUGACCAGCUGGAGCAGGACUUCAUGCUCUGCCAGCAGGAGCUGACAGAGCUCAAGUCCAGCCAUUCCUUUU